GCUGAUUUGUCACCUGGUCACUACACACAAAAGUAUGCACGGCAUUGUGCCAUCAAACGCCAGAAAUGUCAGGAAACCUUUGCUAAGCCAUCAACAAAAGGAAGGCGCUGUUUUUGAAAAAAGAGCGUGCUGUCAACCAGUCAGCUACAGAGUCACUCGAAGGGGCAACAUAUCAGUCAGAAGUUGGCCACACAGCUGACAUAGACAUAGACAAAAUCCCCGAUCCUAUACCACGUGGAGUGUUCAAGCCAGUUUGUUCAAGUGGUGAACCCUCUUAUAUCACUGUGGAUCUUGAAACAACAGACCUUAUUCGAGGAGAUGUUUACCCCCAUAUUACACAGAUAGCAGCCAAACAUGUUGGUACCGAGAAGAGCUUCAACUGCUAAUGGCUACCAAAACUACCUAUGAGCGC